CCUACGGGAGGCAGCAGUGAGGAAUAUUGGUCAAUGGUCGGGAGACUGAACCAGCCAAGCCGCGUGAGGGAGGAAGGUACAGAGUAUCGUAAACCUCUUUUGUCAGGGAACAAAGGCGGGGACGUGUCCCCGGCUGAGUGUACCUGAAGAAAAAGCAUCGGCUAACUCCGUGCCAGCAGCCGCGGUAAUACGGAGGAUGCGAGCGUUAUCCGGAUUUAUCGGGUUUAAAGGGUGCGCAGGCGGUCUGUUAAGUCACCGGUAAAAGCACGGGGCUCAACCCCGGCCCGCCGUUGAAACUGGCAGUCUCGAGUUGGAGAGAAGUAUGCGGAAUGCGCGGUGUAGCGGUGAAAUGCAUAGAUAUCGAGCAGAACUCAGAUUGCGAAGGCAGCAGGCCGGCUCCACACGGACGCUGAGGCACGAAAGCGUGGGUAUCGAACAGGAUUAGAUAACCUGGUAGUC
rnacentral:rRNA from 1 species